rnacentral:rRNA from 1 species
UAUUCCCCACUGCUGCCUCCCGUAGGAGUUUGGGCCGUGUCUCAGUCCCAAUGUGGCCGAUCACCCUCUCAGGUCGGCUACUGAUCGUCGCCUUGGUGGGCCGUUACCUCACCAACUAGCUAAUCAGACGCGGGUCCAUCUUGUAUCAAUAAAUCUUUUCUCACAGUUCCAUGCGAAACCGUGGGCUUAUGCGGUAUUAGCAGUCAUUUCUAACUGUUAUCCCCCAGUACAAGGCAGGUUACCCACGCGUUACUCACCCGUCCGCCACUAAGUCAUUAAGUUUCGCUGCCCGAAGGCUUUGAACCAAAAUGCUUCGUUCGACUUGCAUGUGUUAAGCACGCCGCCAGCGUUCAUCCUGAGCCAA